AGUGGGGGAUGCGAAACGAACUCCAUCCCCUGCAGAGUCGGUGCCUUUGGGGACUCCACCGCCGCGCGCUCCCACCCGCAAGGUUUGCAGGACCUGCCGAAGAACUCUCCCAUCGUGCAAGAGAGAAAAUGAAACUCUCUCCUGGCCUCUGUCAGGGAAAUUAAAAUUCCCCCACUUUCCUGCAAGUUUCCCCAACCUCGUGAGUCUGAUUUCCAGAUCAAAGAGUAAGAAGAGAGGAAAAUUCUUAAGCCUUCUAAGAGUGAGGCCCUCAAGACAUUUCCAAGCUGCCUGGACAAAGGCUUGGAAUGACUACAAUAGUGAACCAUCCUGCCUUGGACCUGAACCUAGAUUGAUGACCUAAUACAUCUUUUCCAACUCUGACUGCCAUGGUUUUAUGAGCAUCAAGAACUGGGCGUCUGCCAUGGUCAACAAGUACAGCUUCUUCGGAGCUCGAACAUCCACAGAAACUCAAGUAUCGCCCAAAAGAACGGAGAUCGCACAGUCUCCCGGGGCUCUGGGGUGCUGCCUCUAGCUUUCACGUGUGACCCCGAAACUCCUCUUUGGCAGGGUAACUCUUAAAGGAAAGUAAGUGUGUCCGUUACUCUCCCCUGUUAUCUUGGUUCAAGAACUCUGAGUCAGACCAGGGCAGAUCUCUGGGAAGCUAAUUAAGCUUAGCUUGAGGCCCUGUCCUUUUCAGGGGCCUCUUCGGAAUACUGUACCUAAUUUUGUAUUUGUAAUUUUGCAUUUUCUGUAACGAAGAGUCCCCUUAAUUGUAUAAGCUAUAGCGUCCCCCACCCCCACCCCCCGCCGCCACAGUAAGAAUCUGCCCCUGAGCUGGGUAAAUUGCACCACAUCUUAGUUUGGUAGGAAAGUGUAAAAAUUAAAUACAAACUCUUCUUCAUCUUUUAUGACACCCCCCCACACCCCACCUCUGGCAAGUCACAGUUAAAGAAGAGACCUCUUAGAGUCUCUGGUUCUCAGAAGUCCUCUCAACCACAGCAGUGGUUCAAAAACUGAUUGCAUUUUAAAUUUAUUCUCCUUAGCUCCUCUUUAAAAGAACAUUUCGUUGUGGGCUAAUUAUUACAAUGGCUUGUAGACUCUAAAGGCCAGAAGAAUUUCCACGAGUGGCCUCCCUUUGGUUAAGCUGCAUCCCUCUUCCAAUUUCAGCUAAGUUUUGUUUUCCAGUAAAGUUAAUGGGUUUGGACUAGCCUUCUACACUUUUGUAACAGGGCUCUCAAGGGACCAACCUACAGCAAUAUUUAUUUUUUCUGAUUACAAAAGUAAUGGCAUAUCUAUAUAAAUAUAUAUAUACACAUAUAUAAAUAACUUGAAACACUAUAGUAAUAUGUAGCAUUGAAAGUGAAAAUCUUCCAUAAUCCCACACAGCUGAGAAAACCAGGUAACAUUUUUUUCAAGGCACUUAUUAAAAUUUCAUUUAUUAUUUUACAAAAAAAUGGGAUUAUAGUUCAACUUUGAAGCAUGCUAUUCUCCACCUAGUAAUAUGUCUUAGACAUCUUUCUAUGCCAGUCUGAAAAAAGUGAGCUUCUUUUUAAUCUUCUUUUUAAUGGCUUCACGGUAUUGUCCUGUAGGACCAAACCAUACUAUCUUUAACCAAUUGCCUGUUAAUGCACAUUUGGGUUCUUUCCAGUUUUCCCUGUACCAAAUAUUCUUGCAAACAUCAUUUUACGCUUACAUCUUUGAGCCGUUGUAGGAAUAUUUCUCUAUGAUGAAUUCCCCGGAGGUGAAUUAUUAUUGGGUCAAAGGGUAUGAACAUUUCAUUUUUAAUAGCUAUUGCCAAAUUGCCCUCCAAUAAUUUUAUACCGAUUUACACCUUCAACCACACUGUAAGAAGGAGCCUGUUUCCCCACCACCACCCCCCCCUUAGCAACACUAAAACCAUGCAAUUUAGGGAUGUCUGAUGUGAGUUAGGAGUUAAGAGGUUCAGCCUGUGGAGUUUUUUGCCUUUGUGAAAAGCUAACAAAGACAUCAAAAGUCUCCCCCUUUCCUUGAUGAACCCCCUGCUCUGAGUGGGCCGAUACCCAGACAGACAUCUAGCUAAUGUGAGAGGUAAAAAUGCUAACACCUAAUGCUUGUAUCUAGCUGGUUUUUUCAGAGAUAAUUUGUUGUUGAGUGUAUAAGCAAAUGUGUUAGUUAUAGAAUACUUAAUAACUUAAUUGUUCAAGAAAUAGAAAUCGGUCCUGACGUCAGCACUGCUGUUUUAAUGUAAACAACAUAUUUAAUCUUAGAGCAUCAGUAUGUUUACAUCUGCAAAACUCCUUGAUUUCAUCUUUACGUUUAUUGGUGCAAAGCAAUUUGAAAAAGCUAUUCUUUAAAGAUAUGUGAAAAGUGGCUUUGAGUCGGCCCUAUUAAAGAAGAACAAGGUUUGCCAAUACCCAGGUUUCAGGAAUUGUUUUGAGGAUUACCAUGGUUUACAUCCCCGGAAUUAGGAUCGCUGGGCUUUAGACGGGAAAAAACUUUAGGGGUUAUCCAGGCAAAAGAUUUCAAAACUCUGCUCCACAAAGCCCUGGGGUUGCUUCAGGGAGACAGAAGAGGUUGGUGGCAGAGAAGGCAGGCGGCGGUUAAAGGUUCGUGGUAUCCCAAUCCUAAUUGCACCACAAGAGUCCUGCUUUGAUCUCCUUCAUAUGGUGGGUUAUAUAUUAUGUCAUCUGGAGCAAGUUGAUCUCUUAUUUUCCUCUUCUGUAAAACAGACACGAUAACAGUGCCUAUUUAGGAGUAGUGAAGAUUAAAUUAAGUAAUACUAUACACGUACAGCGCUUAGCCCAGGGCCCCACACAUGUCAAGGACCCAGGAAAGGUUUACUAAUCUAUUAUUUAAGAUUUUCCUUUGAAAAGGCAUUCUAUUGCUUACAUCUCAAAACCACCCGUUUACUUCUGCAUCUGUACAAUAAGGUGAUUAUUUUAGGUGGAGUUUUAGAUUUGCUUGAUUUCCUGCUACCCAGUCCAGUGAUCUUACUCUCAGAUCCCAGGACAUGUUGCUGGAGAUGCUGGGGGCUCGGAGGAUAACUGGUCUCCCCCACACCAGGUGGUGGCCCUUUCCACCCAGCUGGCCAAGAUCAUGGCUCCUGUAUCUGCCUUGCUCUUGAUUUAUGAAAGAAAUAUGACCUUGUGAAGAAAAGUUUUCCUUGCACUGUGGCCGAAGUUGCCCUCAGGUUCACCCCGAGAAUCGAACAUGAAAGUUGCGAACUGUUAGAAACCUUAGCUAGUUGCCAUCUCUUCCAUGAUUAUGAGGACAACUGAAAGGAGUUCCGAAAUGGACCCUUAAGCCUUCUAAAACUGGCUGAAUUUUCUGUUCUUGGCCAGACACUUGUAAAAGGAAGAACUCAUCCAACAAACAUACACCCUUAUCAAUCCUUUUCUUAGGAAAGUUUGUCUUCGUGUAGGGGAAGUUUUCAAGUUUUCCUAGUGAAUCACAGACGUGAGGCAGGAUGGGGAGAGCUUCAAGCAUCUUCCUUUUUGAGUAUGUCUAACGUGACACCAAAAAUCAGGGAGUGAGAAGCAAAACCUUCUACACUGUGCAUCUUUUCUACCCAAGAACUGCUUCCAUGCCAGUCGCUGCUGCUGUCUGAGAGCCAGACGUGGGCUUGGGGAGGGGCUUCUCUGUGUCAGGGCCAUUCAGGGUCUGUGGUAGACUGAGCAACAAGUAGACAGAAAAGCUGUAGAAUUAAGAGUUGAAAACAGCGUUUAAUGAAACCCCUCCCUCCAGACGCUCUUGAUCAAAGUCUAUCCUUGCACUAAGACAAUUGAUCUACAGUUGCAUACAUAAAAUUUUGGCAACACUCUGUCCUCAUUGCUUUCAACAGAGGCUUUAGACCUCUGAGACUGGGCAUUGUCCCAGAAUUGAGAUCCAGUUGCAUUACGCAUACCAGAAGACACACCACCACAGCCGAGGCCCGUGCAACCACUUUCUUUUAACCUCGCGUCUGUGAAAAAUUACUUUCCAAAAAAAUAAGUGAAACCCGAUGUCUUCUCCGGGUGGUUAUUCUUGCGCCUAUGAAGUCAAUAAAACUCUCCAGAUUUAUUAGACAGCCCUGCUGCGGAAGACAAGACCACUUCCUAUUCCCUAGCAGAAAUGUGUGCCUUUCCUUUCUGUAACCUUCUGACCACAGAUUUUCAUUUUACUCUGUUUCUUUUAUUUUUCUCAGAAAACUGGUCAGAACCCUGUAAGAUAAGUGGCUUGGCCUGCACUAAAAUUCCAAUUUCUGGCCUCCAAGAGUGAUAAAAUGAGCACAUUUCAGGCUCCUCUAGCUUUUCUUGUUUACUUCCCAUUUUCGAGAGGCCCUCUUUUCUUCAGGCCAGAAGUAGCAGAGUCUGGUCGUCUCUCCUGCCACCAUGCUAAGCAUGAAAUGUAGCACCUACCAACAAAUUAUAUUCCUGUGAUAGCCCACUAACCAGGGGGUGAUGACCAUGAAGAAGAUGACUGGAUUCAGUUCUAUUUACUACAAUAGUAUUUAUUGAGCUCCUACUACAUAGCAAGGGUCUUUCCUGGGUAUGAAGAUGCAAAGAUAUAGAGGAUGUUGUGCCUUCUUUCAAGGGUGAAAUCAACACGUUAAUGAGUAAAAGUCUGAGUGUGACUGAUUCCGUAAUAAACAACGUUGUGGGAUACAACAACUAGAACAUGGGAAGGGACUGAAAGUUUUCUCAGAGAGGAUGACUCUUGGACUCUGUGUUUAAAGAUGAGUAGGAGGUUAUCAGAUGAACUUGGGGAAAGGCAGCCCGAGCAGAGGGACCAGCAAGCACAGAGAAUCAGAGGUGUGGAAUAGCAGGGCAUAUUUGGGGCCUAAGAAGUUGUAUGCAUUGAAUGAAGGCCAAAAGAUUGUAAGCAACCUGUGUUCUUACAUGAAUGUGGGUAUAUUUUUUGGUGAUGGGGAGCUACUGGAUGGGUUAAAGGCUUGGAGCGAUUGUGGUAGCAUGAGCAAGGAGGUGGGGGACAAGUGGCCGAGAGCUAUCCUGGGGAGGCAUGAAGACAACCUAAACUGGGCCAGUGUGGUCGAAAUGAAGAGGGCGAUUCAGAGCGAGAGCAAAGAAGACAUGAAAAGGAAGUAGAGUGGUAAAGACUCUCACUCCAGAAUGACUUCUAAGCGGUUGUAUUCCAUUAUUUAAGAGUGCAAAUUACCUCCAAAAUGCUUUUAAUUGUAAGUUACUGACUCACUAAUUCUUUUUUCUCCUACCUAUUUCCAGAAAUGACUUGAGGUAGGAACCAAUUUUGUACCUAGAGCCAGGUCCAUCCUAUAUGACUGUGGGGCCUUUGGCCAAUCGAUGAGCUACUGAAGAGCAUUUUAGGACAUUAUUGCUGGCUCAGUCAUUCUGAAUACCAUUAAAAGAAGUUUAUACCGGGCGCCUGGGUGGCUCAGUUGGUUGAGCGACUGCCUUCGGCUCAGGUCAUGAUCCUGGAGUCCCUGGAUCGAGUCCCACAUCGGGCUCCCUGCUCGGCGAGGAGCCUGCUUCUCCCUCUAACCCUCCCCCCUCUCAUGUACUUUCUCGCUCUCUCAAAUAAAUAAAUAAAUCUUAAAAAAAAAAAAAAAGAAAUUUAUACCAGUGCUAUCUUGACUAGUUUCAGUUUGGAUUAUCCUCAUGUUAAUACGCCAUAUAUCUUAACUAGCACUUCCUUGGGUGAUAACUUCUAGUUCAUUUACUCAUAUUUUUGGGCAUUAAGAGAGAAGACGCUCUUGCCUACAUCACUCAUCUGACAAAGGAAAAAUGAAGUGCAGCAUUUGGGGAGUCAGAUAACUCUUGGUUUGUUCCCCA